AAACAAAAACGGCUGUAGAUUUUACAAAUAAAUCUUUCUGUUAAGCCAUAUUCCUGUCGUCUGCUAGCAUAACCAAUCUUACUAGAAUGAUUUUAAUAAAAGUUUUACUGGUUGGCCAUUUCGUGCUAGAGCUAUUAGUCCCGAGUUCGUUAUCUGAACAAGUCCAAAAUAGUUCCGAAUCUUCCAGUUUCCAUGACAGUGUUUCACAGCCAAGAGAGGAAACUUCAGAUGAUAACUUAAUAAAAUCGCCACUUCUUAACAACCCCGUUGAUGGUUCAUCAAAUGGAAAUGAUUCUAUUACCAACGAUACAGUGAUAUCUAAUGCCACUCAAAUAAAAAAAUUCUCCUGUCUUCUUGAUGAAACACAGGAAAAUAAUCCAACAUUUCAGAUAGUGAAUGGUACUACCCUGUUAUCUGUACUAAAGCAAAAUCAAAAUGUUACAUCUCGGACUCAACCAGCGACAUGCCACGUUGUUGUUUUUUUCACUUCAUGGUGCCCUUUCAGUGUACAGGCUGCGCCACACUUAAAUGCCCUACCAAGAGGAUUUCCAAUGAUGUCUUUUUAUGCUAUUGAUGCCUAUUCUCAUAACAGCUUAAGCACAAUGCAAGGAGUAAUGGCAAUCCCAAGUUUGUUCUUGUUUCACAAUGGCAAAGCAGCAGCAAGGUAUAAUGAAACAGAAUACAAAGUGGAUUUGUUUGCCAGUUUCAUUACUCGUUAUACAGGUAUACAGCCAAUAGGCGUUCUAAAUCGCACUACCGCUGAUUAUCAAGGUCCUUUGCCUACCAGUGUAAUAGAGCAGACGGACCAAUGGCUCAUCCUUGCCUGGGUUGUGCUUUUCCUCUCGUUGGUUUAUUGGUUCACUAGAUCUAACCUCUUCUGGACAUUAAUGGAAAACAUCCGAAAUACAUGGAGAGAAGCAGAAGCACAACAUCAACAUGUUGAUUAGCCCCAUUUUCAGAAAGAUCUCGAUUCAUAAUGUAGAGGAAUCACCAAUAACAUGCGAUCGGAAAGAAAAAUUUCCCUUUGCUUCUGGGCAGUGACGGAUUUAUACAAAGUGGCUAGCAGAGAAGUGUAUUUUCAAUGCUGCACUAAUUCUGAAAAUGGAAACGGUAGUCGUUUGUAGAUGAGUUCUUGUAUGGGGACUUAAUUCUAUAUUUAAACGCAGGCAAACGCGACACCUGAGAGUGGAGGGAAUAGCAUAGCUUGAGCUUCAACUGAAACAAAGGAAACAAAAACAGAAUCGAAUUCAACACAACGCCAUUUGAUCUACUAUUUCAUAGGCAGCUCUGCUCCCUGGUCUACCAUUUAGUUCGGUAACGUGACAUAGAUAGGCCUACUCAUCAUAUGAUAGCUUUUUAGCUUGUUUAUAGCUAUGUUUUUUUUUGUUGUUUAACGGUCGUACGUCGAAUGUACUUUUGUACAGUCAAAGAUCAAGUUCUGUUAAGAUAGAGAUGUGCAUUACUUCUUAGUUCCCUUUAUGCAAUCAAAAUUAGAAAAGCACGCGAAUUGUGGCAUGAAAUACAUUUACAAAUUUUAAAUCAA